rnacentral:lncRNA from 1 species
GCAAGAACAAGAAGGAAGUCAUUCCCUUUUUCCCUUCUCUCUUCCUCCUGGUCUCUGCUCUGGAGUUGCCAUGUGAUCCGCUGGCAAGAGAGGGCGCCAGUGGAAGCCAUGUUGUUGCCUUGUCCUGUUUGAGAUGCCACAUAUUUAAUCAGCUCUGACGGGUCCCAAGGAAACAAGUUGAACUUUCAUAGUGUCUCUGCCUUCAAGACUCUCUUACAAACUCCUGGCCUAACAUGUGAGUAAGGAAGGUGACCCGGGGUCAGCCCAGGGUUACAACGAAAGACGGGAAUCCACCCCAUUGAGAUCUCUGCUUCAGCCCUGCAGCAAUGACUCUCAGCUACUUCUCCAGCACCAUGUCUUCCUGCACACCACAUUGUCCCACUAUGAUGACAAUGGACUGAACCUCUGAACUGUGUGAAUGAACCACGGUACAAGCCUCUGCUGCUGUGGACUGAACUGAUGCAGUCAUCACACCUUCCUUGCUAUGGUGCACCAUUCUGCUGAACUAUGAGCCCAAAUAAAGCUCUUAUCCUAUAUGGCAUCCAAGGUUUCACAUACGCCUGGCAAUUGAACCAGCCCCAGCUCGUCUUCACAGCUUUGCUUCUGAUGUGUUCCCCUAUCCCAGACAACACCGAUGAUGACGGUAAAGAUAAAGAUGAUGAAGAAGAUAAAGAGGAUUAUGAUGAGGAAGAUACAAAUGAGGACAGCAGUGACAUAAAGGUGACGAUGCUGACAAAGGCAGUGAUGGUGAUGAUGAAGAUGGAGAAGAAAAUGGAGCUGAUCGUCAUGAUGACAAAGACAAUGAUGGGUGGCGAGAAUGGUGGGAGGCACUGAGGAGGGCGAAGAAAGCGUCUGUUCCAUGCCUGAGCAUCUAACACUCUCUUCAGAUUGCCGCUUUUAAUCCUUACCAUCCGUCCCCCCACCCCCACCCCCGCGCGCUUUUUCUGAGACAGUCUUGUUGUGUGGUCCUGGCUGGCCUGGAACUUGACAUGUAGCCCAGGCUAGCCUGGAACUUGACAUGUAGCCCAGGCUGGCCUUGAAUGUGUAGCAAUCCCCCUCCCUGAGUCCCCUUAGUGCUGGGAUGACAGACAUGUGCCACCACUCCUGGUUCUUCAAAAAAAAAAAUUUAGAUUGAUUUAUUUUAUUUUAUAUGCAUGAAUGUCUUAUCCGACUGUAAGUUUGUGUACCAUGCGUGUACCUGAUACCCAAGAGGUCAGAAGAGCACGUCAGCUCCUUGGAACCGGAGUAGUGAACCACCAGGUAGGGAGGGGCUGGGAAGCAGCAAGUGCUCUUAACCACUGAGCUAUUUCUCCAGCCCUGGCUAUUUUUUAUUUUUAAUUGAGGUAUAGUUUGGGCAUGGUGACCACACCUCUACCUGGCACUCAGAAGGUAGAGAGAAGAGAAUCAGGAGUUCAAGGCCAGACUGGGUAACAUGAGAACCUACGUCAAGAAAUCUAAAAGGAAAGAUACUAGAGCAUAAAAUUCACAAUACACCCAUUCUUUCUCAUUUUUCUUUUCUUUUUUUUGGGGGGGGUUUCGAGACAGGGUUUCUCUGUGUUUUUGGAGGCUGUCCUAGAACUAGUUCUUGUAGACCAGGCUGGUCUCAAACUCACAGAGAUCCACCUG